rnacentral:rRNA from 1 species
UACGUAGGUGGCAAGCGUUGUCCGGAUUUACUGGGUGUAAAGGGCGUGCAGCCGGGCUGACAAGUCAGAUGUGAAAACCCGCGGCUCAACCGCGGAACUGCAUUUGAAACUGUCAGUCUUGAGUACCGGAGAGGUCAUCGGAAUUCCUUGUGUAGCGGUGAAAUGCGUAGAUAUAAGGAAGAACACCAGUGGCGAAGGCGGAUGACUGGACGGCAACUGACGGUGAGGCGCGAAAGCGUGGGGAGCAAACAGG